rnacentral:rRNA from 1 species
GAUGAACGCUGGCGGCGUGCCUAAUACAUGCAAGUCGAACGCGCAGCGAAAGGUGCUUGCACCUUUCAAGCGAGUGGCGAACGGGUGAGUAACACGUGGAUAACCUGCCUCAAGGCUGGGGAUAACAUUUGGAAACAGAUGCUAAUACCGAAUAAAACUUAGUAUCGCAUGAUACAAAGUAAAAAGGCCUUACGGCGUCACCAAGGAAUGAUCCCGGGGUGCAUUAGUUAGUUGGUGGGGGUAAAGGCUUACCAAGACGAUGAUGCAUAGCCGAGUUGAGAGACUGAUCGGCCACAUUGGGACUGAGACACGGCCCAAACUCCUACGGGAGGCUGCAGUAGGGAAUCUUCCACAAUGGGCGCAAGCCUGAUGGAGCAACGCCGCGUGUGUGAUGAAGGCUUUCGGGUCGUAAAGCACGGUUGUAUGGGAAGAAAUGCUAAAAUAGGGAAUGAUUUUAGUUUGACGGUACCAUACCAGAAAGGGACGGCUAAAUACGUGCCAGCAGCCGCUGUAA